GUGCUUGCUUUAGCAGCACAUGUACUUAAACUGGAACGAUACAAAGAAGAUUAGCAUGGCCCCUGCGCAAGGAUGACAUGCACAUUCAUGGAGCCUUCCAAAUUUUU